rnacentral:rRNA from 1 species
GACGAACGCUAGCGGCAGGCUUAAUACAUGCAAGGCGAAGGGGCAGCAAUGUCACAGUCGUACGGGUGCGUAACGCGUAUGCAACCUACCUAUCACUGGGGGAUAGCCCGGGGGAAACCCGGAUUAAUACCGCAUAACACAGGGGUCCCGCAUGGGUACUAUUUGUUAAAGAUUUAUCGGUGGUAGAUGGGCAUGCGUUC